CUAUCUGUUCUUCAUGAGUUUUAGAUAAUUUUAGUUGUAUUUCUUUGUAAUUUUGUGUUGUACAAAGAUUAAUUUAACAUUUUCUCUGGAAGUAUUAAUUUAGAAAGAUAAUAUGCUUCAUUGGUGUUGUGUUUUUAAGUGUGAAAUGCAAAGUAAUUGUGAUAAAGUCAAGAUAAAGUUCACUUUUAAACUGAACUAAAUAAGGUAUCUGAGAGACAACAAUGGUUAAAUGCAAUACAAUGUACAGGUUUUACUAGCGAAAUGAAAAUUUUCCUGUCCUGUCUGCUGUAAUCAUUUUAUAUCUGGUAAGUUACAAUUACAACAGUAACGAUUUUUGAAGAUGUUAACAUUUUAAUCUUAUAGGAAAAUAGGAAAACCAGCCGACUUAAUCGAUAAUAACAAUCUCCAGAUUGGGUUCCUUCAAUAAAUAUGGGCUAUAAACACAAUGAAAUAAGUUCCCCAAAAUCUAAAAUGGAGUGGUAUCAAAGGAGAAUUAAAGGAAAGAAUAUUCAUAUUGAAAUUAUUUAUAAGGCACUGGACUGUCUUAAAUUCUACAAUAAUACUAGAAUCAGCUGAGAGAAGUGGUUUACAAAAAACCAGGAAGGAAACGGAAUAUGUGGCUACGAAAGGCAAAAGAAAGGUUUACAAAGCAAAUGUGACACAUUUUUUUGAAAUAUUUAGGAAUAUCAGUAAAUUGCAUUAAAAAAAUGUAUGAAAAGAUUUUGUUCAAUAAAAAUGUUUAUAUUUA